rnacentral:rRNA from 1 species
GAGACAGCAGCAGCCGCGGUAAUACGUAGGUCCCGAGCGUUGUCCGGAUUUAUUGGGCGUAAAGCGAGCGCAGGCGGUUAGAUAAGUCUGAAGUGAAAGGCAGUGGCUCAACCAUUGUAGGCUUUGGAAACUGUUUAACUUGAGUGCAGAAGGGGAGAGUGGAAUUCCAUGUGUAGCGGUGAAAUGCGUAGAUAUAUGGAGGAACACCGGUGGCGAAAGCGGCUCUCUGGUCUGUAACUGACGCUGAGGCUCGAAAGCGUGGGGAGCGAACAGGAUUAGAUACCCGUGUAGUCCCUGUCUCUUAUACA